GGACCGCGGGCAUGCUGGGAGGAAGAGCAAGGGCUGGAGGGGCCCGAGAGCUCAGGCCACGGCUUCUCUGUCAUGUGACCUGCAGUAACUCACGUCCCCUCUCUCAGCCUCAGUUUCCCUUUCUAUAAAACAGAGGCCAGAACAGCUUUGCCCUCUCAGGCCUGUGGUGGUGUGGCAGUGACCUCCCUCAGGGCCAUCCCAGGAGUACUUCUCUGAGCAGACACUAUUGGCACCAUAGAUUUCGUAUUUGGCGGGGCUUUCCAGCAGAUGACUCCAAACUGAGUUGAUCUAAUAUGAUCACUACACCUGACAAUUUUCCGGCUGGUAGCUGUAAACUCUUAAGGAAAGAGCACUAUUUUUUUGUGUGUGUGGGGGGCACCUUUUAAAAAUAUAUUUAUUUAUUUAUUUAUUUGGCUGUGCUGGGUCUUAGUUGUGGCAGGCGGGCUCCUUAGUUGCGGUUCGCUGGCUUAUUAGUUACGGCACACCAGCUCCUUAGUUGCAGCAGGUGGGCUCCUUAGUUGUGGCAUGCAUGUGGGAUCUAGUUCCCCAACCAGGGAUCGAACCCCGGCCCCCUGCAUUGGGAGCGUGGAGUCUUAACCACGGCACCACCAGGGAAGUCCUGGGACACCCUUUUGUAAUUUGCACAAAGGCCUUGUGCGUACCGUGGGGCCGUGGCUCAUACAGGUCAGGUGCUUGGCGGAGGGCCUCGCCGGGGUGUCCUCAGGGAAGGACAGCUCACAUUGUUGGCUUCCGAGUUGGUGAGCCUUUUAGGAUCUCGCACCCCUAAUAGUGAAAAAUGUUUGCACCUCUACCUUUGUUUCAUAAAUACGUAUUCAAAUUACAUGAUGUACUAUAGCCCUGAUACCAUGCCUGCUCUAAUUCAUACCUCAGAACCCAAAAUUAUAAAAUAGAGAGAGAACACAUGGAUAGAAAUAGGUGUUCUAUUAUUUUCUUCCUGCACCUGGCAAUCGGAAGCCUGCAGCCUCAGAAGUUGCCACCAGGGGGAGGAUGAAAUCUUUGCAGGUCCGGAAUUCACAAGUGGGAGAGUCAGUUUUUUCCGUGAGAUGUGACUCAGACUUGAUACGAACAGCUCACCUGAAGCCAAGUGCCUUCAUGAAAUCCUCACCAUAGCCCUGCUGGCAAACCUGUUUGUAAGCUUCUGUCCCAAUGUUUACUGAGUGCCAACCCAGUGCCAGGCCCUGCAGGCAGUGAACGGAGGGAGCAGACAUCCCUGCCCUCCUGGAACUGACACUGUAGUGUGGGGAGAGACAAUGGACGAGAUGGGUGAGUUGCGUAUCUACGCUGAUGCUGAGAGGUCUAUGGCGCGCAGCUGAGCAGGAAAGGGGACUCAAGCUCUGUGUGUGCGGUGUCAGGGGUGCUGUAGUGAACAAGAUGUCAGGGAAGGCCUCACUGAGAAGCAGGACAUUUAAACAGAGACCUGUAGGAGGGGAGGGAGGGAGCCAUGGGAUCAUCUGUCGGGGGAGAGUGCAUUCCAGGCAAAGCGAACAGCCAGUCCAGAGGUCCUGAGGGGAGGCUGCAUUUGGCGUGUUCAAGAAGCUGGAUCUGGACUUCCCUGGCGGUCCAGUGGUUAAGACUCCACGCUCCCAAUGCAGGGGGCCCAGGUUCGAUCCCUGGUCAGGGAACUAGAUCCCACAUACCACAGCUAAGACCCGGCACAGCCAAAUAAAUAAAUAUUUUUAAAAAGAGAAAAGAAGAAGAAGCUGGAUCUGAGUGAGCAGGGAGGACAGUAGUAGGAGAAGAUGGAGGAGACGAGGUCAGGGAGGUGACAGGGGUGGACCGUGUGGGGGCUUCGGGGCCACAGGGAGGGCUUUGUCCUUUCCCCUGAGUGAGAUGGAAUCACAGGAGGGCUCUGAGCAGGGCAGGGACAUGACCUGACCCAGGUGUUCACAGGGUCCCUCUGGCUGCGUGAGGGGGGCAGACUGUCGGAGCAGUGGGGGGCAGGUACCAAGACCAGGGGGGAGGCUGCAAUGAUGUUGCAAGCAGGAGAGGAUGGAGGCUGGGCCAGGGAGGGGGCUGCCGAAGGGGAGAGGUGGGCUGCUUACGAACCCGUUUUGAAGGUGGAGCUGGCAGGACUUGCCAAUGGGUUGAAUGUGAAACGAUUCGUGAGAGAAGGAAAGGAGUCAGGGAUGACUGCCUCCCUCUCAGCCUGAGCACCUGCUGCCUUUUAUUGAGAUGGUGGGACGUGCAGGCGUGGGGGGCAGAGGAGGAGCUUGGCUGAAGGCAUGUCGGGGUUGAGAUGCCCGUUAGACAACCACCUGGGGACAUGGGCAGACAGCUGGACACGGGAGUCUGGACUCGAGCUGGAGAGCAGCAGAUAGACGAUGUUUAAACCCUCCAGACAGGAUGAGAUCACAGGGGUCCCAGCACGAGAAGCCCAGGCCCAGGCCCAGGUGGCUCAUGGGGGCAGCUCAGAGGGCUCGCUUCCCAGCUCUGUCUGAGGCAGAACCCCCUGCCCCAACCACGAAAGCACACCAGCUGUAGGCUAUUUUUAGACGAAAGCCAACACCAAUGCGUUGUGAGGUCAGCGUGAAAUGUGGUGGCAUUUCCCCCCAGUUGCAAUUCUUCAUGCGUGGAUUUAAGCACGCAUACGUAUUCAAAAUGGCACGUCACGUAACAUAGACAAAGGUGGAAAAAAUUUUUCCAGUCUCACGUUUCAUGAAACCUUUUUUUUUUUUUUUUUAAACUCAUCACCCUCUUCUUUAACCUCAGCCACUUUUUGAGUCACUGACCCAGUUUUCUGGAACACAUUGUCUUCACGUCUUUCUGAAUUGUGACGAUGCAGCACUUUCGAAGCCACGCGCGAUGCUAUUUUUAUCUCAAGACACAAGUAUCCAUUCAAACAUGAGAACAGUUGUCGCCUUCGUUCAAGUCACUGUGAUCUCCUCAGCAAACCAGCUUAUCGCUCUUUUAAAUCUAUAUCUAUGGCAUUUACAUCAUACAUAGGGUUUGUACUUGGCUUUCUUUCAUUUAAGCCCUGUCUGGAGGAUCCUUCCAUAUCUGCACCCACAUAGCAGCUUCAUGCUUUUUUU